rnacentral:rRNA from 1 species
GACGUAGGGCGCGAGCGUUGUCCGGAUUUAUUGGGCGUAAAGAGCUCGUAGGCGGCUUGUUGCGUCGACUGUGAAAACCCCGCGGCUUAACUGCGGGCUUGCAGUUGAUACGGGCAGGCUAGAGUUCGGUAGGGGAGACUGGAAUUCCUGGUGUAGCGGUGAAAUGCGCAGAUAUCAGGAGGAACACCGGUGGCGAAGGCGGGUCUCUGGGCCGUAACUGACGCUGAGGAGCGAAAGCGUGGGGAGCGAACAGG